GAACCGGUGGCCAAGUAAGUUAGAGCGCCCGUCUCGUAUGCGGGUGGUCGUGGGUUCGAUCCCCAGUCGAGUCA